UACGUAGGUGGCAAGCGUUAUCCGGAUUUAUUGGGCGUAAAGGGAACGCAGGCGGUCUUUUAAGUCUGAUGUGAAAGCCUUCGGCUUAACCGGAGUAGUGCAUUGGAAACUGGGAGACUUGAGUGCAGAAGAGGAGAGUGGAACUCCAUGUGUAGCGGUGAAAUGCGUAGAUAUAUGGAAGAACACCGGUGGCGAAAGCGGCUCUCUGGCCUGUAACUGACGCUGAGGCUCGAAAGCGUGGGGAGCAAACAGG
rnacentral:rRNA from 1 species